rnacentral:rRNA from 1 species
GACGAACGCUGGCGGCGUGCUUAACACAUGCAAGUCGAACGGUGAAGCGCCUUCCUUUUUGGUGGGUGUGGAUGAGUGGCGAACGGGUGAGUAACACGUGAGUAACCUGCCCCCUUCUUCUGGAUAACCGCAUGAAAGUGUGGCUAAUACGGGAUAUUCUGGGUCUGUCGCAUGAUGGGUCUGGGAAAGAUAUUGUUUCGGUGGGGGAUGGGCUCGCGGCCUAUCAGCUUGUUGGUGGGGUGAUGGCCUACCAAGGCGGUGACGGGUAGCCGGCCUGAGAGGGUGGACGGUCACACUGGGACUGCGGCACGGCCCGGACUGCUACGGGAGGCAGCAGUGGGGAAUAGUGCACAAUGGGCGCAAGUCUGAUGCAGCGACGCCGCGUGAGGGAUGGAGGCCUUCGGGUUGUGAACCUCUUUCGCCAGUGAAGCAGGCCUGCCUCGUUUGUGGGUGGGUUGACGGUAGCUGGUUAAGAAGCGCCGGCUAACUACGUG